GAUGAACGCUGGCGGCGUGCCUAAUACAUGCAAGUCGAGCGAACGGACGAGAAGCUUGCUUCUCUGAUGUUAGCGGCGGACGGGUGAGUAACACGUGGGUAACCUACCUAUAAGACUGGGAUAACUUCGGGACACCGUAGCUAAUACCGGAUAAUAUUUUGAACCGCAUGGUUCAAUAGUGAAAGUCGGUUUUUCUGUCACUUAUAGAUGGAUCCGCGCUGCAUUAGCUAGUUGGUAAGGUAACGGCUUACCAAGGCAACGAUGCAUAGCCGACCUGAGAGGGUGAUCGGCCACACGGGAACUGAGACACGGUCCAGACUCCUACGGGAGGCAGCAGUAGGGAAUCUUCCGCAAUGGUCGAAAGCCUGACGGAGCAACGCCGCGUGAGUGAUGAAGGUCUUCGGAUCGUAAAACUCUGUUAUUAGGGAAGAACAUAUGUGUAAGUAACUGUGCACAUCUUGACGGUACCUAAUCAGAAAGCCACGGCUAACUACGUG
rnacentral:rRNA from 1 species